rnacentral:rRNA from 1 species
ACGGCUCAGUAACACGUGGCUAACCCACCCUUGAGACGGAGAAAACCCCGGGAAACUGGGGUUAAUCUCCGAUAAGAGAAGACCCCUGGAAUGGGUCUUCUCUCAAAGGGCGCCUAGACCAUGCUUCUAGGCGUUGCUCAAGGACGGGGCCGCGGCCGAUCAGGUUGUUGGUGAGGCAACGGCUCACCAAGCCUAUAACCGGUACGGGCCGUGAGAGCGGGAGCCCGGAGAUGGGCACUGAGACAAGGGCCCAGGCCCUACGGGGCGCAGCAGUUGCGAAAACUCCGCAAUGCACGAAAGUGUGACGGGGCUACCCCGAGUGCCGUCCGCUGAGGGCGGCUUUUCCCCGGUGUAAGGAGCCGGGGGAAUAAGGAGAGGGCAAGUCUGGUGUCAGCCGCCGCGGUAAUACCAGCUCUCCGAGUGGUAGGGAUGAUUAUUGGGCUUAAAGCGUCCGUAGCCGGCCCGGCAAGUCUUCCGUUAAAUCCAACGAUUCAAUCGUUGGACUGCAGGAGAUACUGUUGGGCUAGGGGGCGGGAGAGGCCGACGGUAUUCUCGGGGUAGGGGUAAAAUCCUAUAAUCCCGGGAGGACCACCAGUGGCGAAGGCGGUCGGCUAGAACGCGCUCGACGGUGAGGGACGAAAGCUGGGGGAGCGAACCGGAUUAGAUACCCGGGUAGUCCCAGCUGUAAACGAUGCGGGCUAGGUGUUGGGGCGGCUACGGGCCGCUUCAGUGCCGCAGGGAAACCAUUAAGCCCGCCGCCUGGGGAGUACGGCCGCAAGGCUGAAACUUAAAGGAAUUGGCGGGGGAG